rnacentral:rRNA from 1 species
UUAAGCGACUAAGCGUACACGGUGGAUGCCCUGGCAGUCAGAGGCGAUGAAGGACGUGCUAAUCUGCGAUAAGCGUCGGUAAGGUGAUAUGAACCGUUAUAACCGGCGAUUUCCGAAUGGGGAAACCCAGUGUGUUUCGACACACUAUCAUUAACUGAAUCCAUAGGUUAAUGAGGCGAACCGGGGGAACUGAAACAUCUAAGUACCCCGAGGAAAAGAAAUCAACCGAGAUUCCCCCAGUAGCGGCGAGCGAACGGGGAGCAGCCCAGAGCCUGAAUCAGUGUGUGUGUUAGUGGAAGCGUCUGGAAAGGCGCGCGAUACAGGGUGACAGCCCCGUACACAAAAAUGCACAUGCUGUGAGCUCGAUGAGUAGGGCGGGACACGUGGUAUCCUGUCUGAAUAUGGGGGGACCAUCCUCCAAGGCUAAAUACUCCUGACUGACCGAUAGUGAACCAGUACCGUGAGGGAAAGGCGAAAAGAACCCCGGCGAGGGGAGUGAAAAAGAACCUGAAACCGUGUACGUACAAGCAGUGGGAGCACGCUUAGGCGUGUGACUGCGUACCUUUUGUAUAAUGGGUCAGCGACUUAUAUUCUGUAGCAAGGUUAACCGAAUAGGGGAGCCGAAGGGAAACCGAGUCUUAACUGGGCGUUAAGUUGCAGGGUAUAGACCCGAAACCCGGUGAUCUAGCCAUGGGCAGGUUGAAGGUUGGGUAACACUAACUGGAGGACCGAACCGACUAAUGUUGAAAAAUUAGCGGAUGACUUGUGGCUGGGGGUGAAAGGCCAAUCAAACCGGGAGAUAGCUGGUUCUCCCCGAAAGCUAUUUAGGUAGCGCCUCGUGAAUUCAUCUCCGGGGGUAGAGCACUGUUUCGGCAAGGGGGUCAUCCCGACUUACCAACCCGAUGCAAACUGCGAAUACCGGAGAAUGUUAUCACGGAGACACACGGCGGUGCUAACGUCCGUCGUGAAGAGGAAACAACCCAGACCGCCAGCUAAGGUCCCAAAGUCAUGGUUAAGGGAAACGAUGGGAAGGCCCAGACAGCCGGAUGUUGGCUUAGAAGCAGCCAUCAUUUAAAGAAAGCGUAAUAGCUCACUGGUCGAGUCGGCCUGCGCGGAAGAUGUAACGGGCUAAACCAUGCACCGAAGCUGCGGCAGCGACACUAUGUGUUGUUGGGUAGGGGAGCGUUCUGUAAGCCUGUGAAGGUGUGCUGUGAGGCAUGCUGGAGGUAUCAGAAGUGCGAAUGCUGACAUAAGUAACGAUAAAGCGGGUGAAAAGCCCGCUCGCCGGAAGACCAAGGGUUCCUGUCCAACGUUAAUCGGGGCAGGGUGAGUCGACCCCUAAGGCGAGGCCGAAAGGCGUAGUCGAUGGGAAACAGGUUAAUAUUCCUGUACUUGGUGUUACUGCGAAGGGGGGACGGAGAAGGCUAUGUUGGCCGGGCGACGGUUGUCCCGGUUUAAGCGUGUAGGCUGGUUUUCCAGGCAAAUCCGGAAAAUCAAGGCUGAGGCGUGAUGACGAGGCACUACGGUGCUGAAGCAACAAAUGCCCUGCUUCCAGGAAAAGCCUCUAAGCAUCAGGUAAUAUCAAAUCGUACCCCAAACCGACACAGGUGGUCAGGUAGAGAAUACCAAGGCGCUUGAGAGAACUCGGGUGAAGGAACUAGGCAAAAUGGUGCCGUAACUUCGGGAGAAGGCACGCUGAUAUGUAGGUGAGGUCCCUCGCGGAUGGAGCUGAAAUCAGUCGAAGAUACCAGCUGGCUGCAACUGUUUAUUAAAAACACAGCACUGUGCAAACACGAAAGUGGACGUAUACGGUGUGACGCCUGCCCGGUGCCGGAAGGUUAAUUGAUGGGGUUAGCGCAAGCGAAGCUCUUGAUCGAAGCCCCGGUAAACGGCGGCCGUAACUAUAACGGUCCUAAGGUAGCGAAAUUCCUUGUCGGGUAAGUUCCGACCUGCACGAAUGGCGUAAUGAUGGCCAGGCUGUCUCCACCCGAGACUCAGUGAAAUUGAACUCGCUGUGAAGAUGCAGUGUACCCGCGGCAAGACGGAAAGACCCCGUGAACCUUUACUAUAGCUUGACACUGAACAUUGAGCCUUGAUGUGUAGGAUAGGUGGGAGGCUUUGAAGUGUGGACGCCAGUCUGCAUGGAGCCGACCUUGAAAUACCACCCUUUAAUGUUUGAUGUUCUAACGUUGACCCGUAAUCCGGGUUGCGGACAGUGUCUGGUGGGUAGUUUGACUGGGGCGGUCUCCUCCUAAAGAGUAACGGAGGAGCACGAAGGUUGGCUAAUCCUGGUCGGACAUCAGGAGGUUAGUGCAAUGGCAUAAGCCAGCUUGACUGCGAGCGUGACGGCGCGAGCAGGUGCGAAAGCAGGUCAUAGUGAUCCGGUGGUUCUGAAUGGAAGGGCCAUCGCUCAACGGAUAAAAGGUACUCCGGGGAUAACAGGCUGAUACCGCCCAAGAGUUCAUAUCGACGGCGGUGUUUGGCACCUCGAUGUCGGCUCAUCACAUCCUGGGGCUGAAGUAGGUCCCAAGGGUAUGGCUGUUCGCCAUUUAAAGUGGUACGCGAGCUGGGUUUAGAACGUCGUGAGACAGUUCGGUCCCUAUCUGCCGUGGGCGCUGGAGAACUGAGGGGGGCUGCUCCUAGUACGAGAGGACCGGAGUGGACGCAUCACUGGUGUUCGGGUUGUCAUGCCAAUGGCACUGCCCGGUAGCUAAAUGCGGAAGAGAUAAGUGCUGAAAGCAUCUAAGCACGAAACUUGCCCCGAGAUGAGUUCUCCCUGACUCCUUGAGAGUCCUGAAGGAACGUUGAAGACGACGACGUUGAUAGGCCGGGUGUGUAAGCGCAGCGAUGCGUUGAGCUAACCGGUACUAAUGAACCGUGAGGCUUAACCU